UGCUCCUCUUCCAUUUGAAGUUGUUGUUUCUGCUGGACAAAAGGCUAAAGAGGAAGCAUGGCAUAGAGGCUAGUUCAAUUUCUGACCAUAUCCCAUUUACUCCCUUCCUCCUUUUUCCUUUUUUGAUCAUUAAGUUUAUAGAAAUGAUACAGGCGGUGGUGAUCCAGACAGGAGUAAAGUUGCCCGAGAUCUAAAUGAUCUGACAGGAGAAGGAAAUAUUGAGAGCAUGCUUUCAGUUGAAAUGGGCCUAAGGGAAUUAGCAUCAUUAAAGGUUGAAGAUGCUGUUAUACAAGCAUUGGGCAGACAGAGACGGCUGAGUUUGCAUCAUCGAUCUGUCUCAGAUUUGAAAUCACCUAGUGAACU